UACAGAGGUCCCAAGCGUUGUUCGGAUUCAUUGGGCGUAAAGGGCUCGUAGGCGGUUUGUCGCGUCGGGAGUGAAAACACGGGGCUUAACCCCGUGCCUGCUUCCGAUACGGGCAGACUAGAGGUAUGCAGGGGAGAACGGAAUUCCUGGUGUAGCGGUGAAAUGCGCAGAUAUCAGGAGGAACACCGGUGGCGAAGGCGGGUCUCUGGGCAACAACUGACGCUGAGGAGCGAAAGCGUGGGGAGCGAACAGG
rnacentral:rRNA from 1 species